rnacentral:rRNA from 1 species
GGUGGCANNUUAUUUUUUAGAGGAACCUGUUUUUUAAUCGNCAAUCCACGUUAAUNUUAACUUUAAUUAUAAAUUUAUAUACCGCCAUNUAAAAAAUUAAUUUUAUAAUAAUAUUUUUAAUAAAAAAUAAAAAGUUAGGUCAAGGUGUNAUCUAUANUAAAGUAAAUAAUGGGUUACAUAAAAAUAAUU